rnacentral:rRNA from 1 species
AGUCGAGCGGAACGAGUUCACUGAACCUUCGGGGAACGUGAACGGCGUCGAGCGGCGGACGGGUGAGUAGUGCCUGGGAAAUUGCCCUGAUGUGGGGGAUAACCAUUGGAAACGAUGGCUAAUACCACAUAAUAGCUUCGGCUCAAAGAGGGGGACCUUCGGGCCUCUCGCGUCAGGAUAUGCCCAGGUGGGAUUAGCUAGUUGGUGAGGUAAGGGCUCACCAAGGCAACGAUCCCUAGCUGGUCUGAGAGGAUGAUCAGCCACACUGGAACUGAGACACGGUCCAGACUCCUACGGGAGGCAGCAGUGGGGAAUAUUGCACAAUGGGCGCAAGCCUGAUGCAGCCAUGCCGCGUGUAUGAAGAAGGCCUUCGGGUUGUAAAGUACUUUCAGUCGUGAGGAAGGCGUUGUAGUUAAUAGCUGCAUCGUUUGACGUUAGCGACAGAAGAAGCACCGGCUAACUCCGUGCCAGCAGCCGCGGUAAUACGGAGGGUGCGAGCGUUAAUCGGAAUUACUGGGCGUAAAGCGCAUGCAGGUGGUUUGUUAAGUCAGAUGUGAAAGCCCGGGGCUCAACCUCGGAAUUGCAUUUGAAACUGGCAGACUAGAGUACUGUAGAGGGGGGUAGAAUUUCAGGUGUAGCGGUGAAAUGCGUAGAGAUCUGAAGGAAUACCGGUGGCGAAGGCGGCCCCCUGGAUAGAUACUGACACUCAGAUGCGAAAGCGUGGGGAGCAAACAGGAUUAGAUACCCUGGUAGUCCACGCCGUAAACGAUGUCUACUUGGAGGUUGUGGCCUUGAGCCGUGGCUUUCGGAGCUAACGCGUUAAGUAGACCGCCUGGGGAGUACGGUCGCAAGAUUAAAACUCAAAUGAAUUGACGGGGGCCCGCACAAGCGGUGGAGCAUGUGGUUUAAUUC